rnacentral:tRNA from 1 species
GCGGACGUGGCGGAAUUGGCAGACGCGCGAGAUUUAGGUUCUCGUAUCGAGAGAUGUGUGGGUUCAAGUCCCACCGUCCGCACCA